rnacentral:rRNA from 1 species
ACGGAAGGCAGCAGUGAGGAAUAUUGGUCAAUGGGCGGAAGCCUGAACCAGCCAAGUCGCGUGAAGGAUGAAGGUAUUAUGUAUUGUAAACUUCUUUAGACGUAGAGAAAUAAGAGGCUCGUGAGCCUUGAUGCUAGUAUACGUAGAAUAAGGAUCGGCUAACUCCGUGCCAGCAGCCGCGGUAAUACGGAGGAUCCGAGCGUUAUCCGGAUUUACUGGGUUUAAAGGGUGCGCAGGCGGCCCUGUAAGUCAGCGGUUAAAUCGUGGAGCUCAACUCCAUCCCGCCGUUGAUACUGCAGGGCUUGAUUGCGGUCGAGGUUGGCGGAAUUCGCCGUGUAGCGGUGAAAUGCAUAGAUAUGGCGAAGAACUCCGAUUGCGUAGGCAGCUGACCAGGCCGUAAAUGACGCUCAUGCACGAAAGUGCGGGGAUCGAACAGGAUUAGAUACCCUGGUA